rnacentral:misc_RNA from 1 species
UUUCCGUAGGUGAACCUGCGGAAGGAUCAUUAUCACACUACUUCUAUAACGUUCCGUUCUAUCCCAAUGUUUUAUUUACCCUGUUGCUAAUAAUGGAUGAUAUUCAAUACCUUGUGUUUGAGGAACUUUGGCUUGUUACAGCUUCAUUCAAGACCAGCCAUUGAGAAGAAAAUUUACAAUACACUGUUAAGAAAAAUUUGUCUGAAUAUUUUACUUCAAUGAUAUAAAAGUUUCAACAACGGAUAUCUAACCUCUUACAUCGAUGAUGAACGCAGCAGA